CUAAAACAUAACUCACAAAAAAUCAAAUAUAGUUCACGAUUUAUCUCCUUCUUCUUCUUCUUCAACGACAAGAACAAUGGUUGCAGCAGCAACAACCAAGUUGUUGACGAGAUCCCUUCUCUUUUUUCCCAUUCUACUAAUACGACGACGGAGAAUAAAACAACGAUGGUGCUUCCUAAACGGUCUCAAUCCGUGGACUAGAACCAAAUCCCCAAAUUCCUUCAUGGUACUUGUCUCCUUCUCCUUCUUCAACGACAACAACAAUGGCGGCAACAGCAACAACCAAGUUGCCGAUGACGGUGUUUCCUAAAUGGUCUCAAUCAGUGGACGAAACCAAAUCCCCAAGUUCCCCUUUUGUUUUGGUUGUUUGUUUAUGGUAGAAUUAGGCCAAGAAAUUGAAGGAUAAUUAGCUUUGUUUAGGCAUUACAAAAAUUAAAUAUUUGAAUUAGAUCUUUUUUUUC
rnacentral:lncRNA from 1 species